CCUACGGGAGGCAGCAGUGAGGAAUAUUGGUCAAUGGCCGGAAGGCUGAACCAGCCAUGCCGCGUGAAGGUCAGUGCCCUAUGGGCGUUAAACUUCUUUUGUGCGGGAGCAAUAAUGGUCACGUGUGGCCAGACGAGAGUACCGUACGAAUAAGCAUCGGCUAACUCCGUGCCAGCAGCCGCGGUAAUACGGGGGAUGCAAGCGUUAUCCGGAUUUAUUGGGUUUAAAGGGUGCGUAGGCUGUGAGGUAAGUCAGCGGUGAAAUGCCCCCGCUCAACGGGGUGAAGUGCCAUUGAUACUGCCUUGCUGGAAUGCGGAUGCGGUGGGAGGAAUGUGUGGUGUAGCGGUGAAAUGCAUAGAUAUCACACAGAACACCGAUUGCGAAGGCAGCUCACGAAUCCGCGAUUGACGCUGAUGCACGAAAGCGUGGGUAUCAAACAGGAUUAGAUACCCCUGUAGUC
rnacentral:rRNA from 1 species